rnacentral:lncRNA from 1 species
UGACGUCCGAUAAAGAUAAAGAUAAGAAGAACAGUCCAGGAAUGGCUUAGAACCUGACAAAUUUGGCCCAAAAUGGAGCUGGCACUUGCCUAGGAGCCACAGCCAGUCAAAAGCAGGCAAGCCAGCAACCAAUUGUAAUUUAUCACAAAUGCUCAUAGCCUUUAUGUGAGCCAUAGAUGAAAAUGACGAUGGAUGAGGAUCUAUAGCUUACACACAACAUGAUUUUGAAUAGGCUCAUCAUAUCAGCAAAAUGUAAUUCUAAGGAAACAUCUGGCCAUAGAAUAUAGCUUUAUUCGGAGUGUCAAAUACAGUAUACCCACGCAGUUAUAAUUCAAAAUAGUGGACUGUAAAACCGAUGGUAACGCAGAAAAAUGAUAACUCUGCAUGUCAGUUGCACCAAAGACAAUGCAAUGUGAUAUUCUGGGUGCUUUAUGUUGAUAGUUGGACUAGAAAUACGGCGGUGCUAUAUAACCAGUAAUCUUUGAUCGCGGCUGGUGCCGUUACUCGCUUAUGGUUCUCCACCGACACACAAAUUUAAUCUCAAUGGAAGACAUUUUUGCAACUAUUUUAUUCUUUUAUUACCAGAUCCUUAGGUUAAAUGACUGUGAGUAUCAACCGAUUAGAAUCUACCGCAAUAUAAAUUUUGCACCAUGAGCCCGAGGUUCCAAUCUUACUGGCAUAAUAUUUUGAAGUAACGAAAACGACAUCAAAUACCAAUUGCUCAAAUCAAUAAGUGCUUAUCACUAAAGACCGGAUUUUAAGCAUUUUGCUUAUUGCUGAAUUUUGCAAGCAACCAUAAGAUUAUUUAAUUUCUAAUCGAAUUAAACCAAACUAAGUAUA